rnacentral:rRNA from 1 species
UGAGGAAUAUUGGACAAUGGGCGCAAGCCUGAUCCAGCCAUGCCGCGUGCAGGAUGACGGUCCUAUGGAUUGUAAACUGCUUUUGUACAGGAAGAAACAGUUCUACGUGUAGAACCUUGACGGUACUGUAAGAAUAAGGAUCGGCUAACUCCGUGCCAGCAGCCGCGGUAAUACGGAGGAUCCAAGCGUUAUCCGGAAUCAUUGGGUUUAAAGGGUCCGUAGGCGGUUAGAUAAGUCAGUGGUGAAAGCCCAUCGCUCAACGGUGGAACGGCCAUUGAUACUGUCUGACUUGAAUUAUUAGGAAGUAACUAGAAUAUGUAGUGUAGCGGUGAAAUGCGUAGAUAUCAAGAGGAACACCUGAGGUGAAGACGGGUUGCUGGGUUGACACUGAUGGACGAAAGCGUGGGUAGCGAACAGGAUUAGAUACCCCAGUAGUCCCUGAGCGGGCUGGCAAGGCGCAU